rnacentral:rRNA from 1 species
GCGGGGGGGAGGGAAUUGUACCGUGGCUGUGACGCUGGCGGGAGGCCUAACACAUGCAAGUCGAGCGGUAGAGUCUCUUCGGAGGCUUGUUAGCGGGGCAGGGGUGCAGAAGAGAUGUGCGACCGGCCUUUAGCUGGGGGAUAGGGGUUCAAAAGGGAGAUUAAUACCCCAUAAUAUAAGAAACGGCCUCGAUUUUUUAUUGAAAACUCCGGUGGAUAGAGAUGGGCACGCGCAAAAAUAGAUAGAUGGUGAGGGAACGGCUCACCAAGUCUGCGAUCUUUAUGGGGCCUGAGAGGGUGAUCCCCCACACUGGUACUGAAACACGGACCAGACCCCUACUGGAGGCAGCAGUGAGGAAGAUUGAACAAUGGGUGAGAGCCUGAUCCAGCCGUCCCGCGGGAAGGAGUACGGCCCUAUGGGUUGUAAACUUCUUUUGUAUAGGGAUAAACCUUUGCUCUUGAGGGAAGCUGAAGGUACUAUACCAAUAACCACCGGCUAACUCCGUGCCAACACCCUCGGUAAUACCGAGGGUGCAAGCGUUAUCCGGAUUUAUUGCGGUUUAAAGGGUCCGUAGGCGGAUCUGUAAGUCACUGGUGAAAUCUCACAGCUUAACUGUGACUCUGCCAUUGAUACUGCAGGUCUUGAGUGUUGUUGAAGUAGCUGGAAUGAGUAGUGUAUCGGUGAAAUGCAUAGAUAUGACUUAGAAACACCAAUUGAAUACCGCGGGUUACUAAGCAACCAACUGACGCUGAUGGACGAAAGCGUGCGGAAGCGGAUGAGGAUUAGAUACCCUGGUAUUCCACGCCUGUACACCGAUGCUAACUCAUUUCUUGGGUUGUUCGGUAUUCCCAGACUAACCCGAACGUCGAUGAGUUUAGCCACCUUGGGGUAGUACGAACGGCAGGUUUUCGAAACUUCAAAGGAAAUUGAUCGAGAUGCACUGUCACAAGCGGCGCGAUUAUGUGGUUUAAAUUUCGAUGAUUACAAUUUCGGAUGCCAU